GAGCCCAGCGAGGACGUGGAUUCCCCACGGCCCUUCCCACAUACCCCGUUCUUUCAUUUGGCUGUUUCUGAGUUGUGUGCUUUAUAAUCAACUGACAAUGAUAGGUAGAAGCAGUGGCAGGUCUGAGAAUCAAAAUGGGUCAUUCAUUGACUAGUUAGAACUGGAAGGUUUAUUACAAAACUUAAAGAGGUCCUAUGUCCCUUCCUCUUAAAUUUGGGCAGAAUUUGUGACUUCUUUGUCCAACAAAAUAUCGCAGAAGUGAUGCUGUACCAGACUGAAAAAGAGUGGCAGUUUCUAGCUGUGGUAUCUUGGAUCCAAAGAAUCAAUGACCCCAUACAACAGACCCAGUAGAGUUCCCAGGAAACAGCCAGCACCAGCCAUGUUGGUAAGAUAUCUUGAAAAUAGAUACUUCAGCCCACUUGAGCCACCACAGCUCACACCACCUGGAGCACAGUCAAGCCUUUUCUGCUGAGCCCUGCCCAAACUGCAGAUUUGUGAACCAAAUAAAUAAUUGCAAUUGUUUUAAGCCAAUAA
ensembl:lncRNA MACROD2-AS1 MACROD2 antisense RNA 1